GGAAUCCUGAUGAGAAGGUGCUGCCUUGGGUAUGCUGUUCUGUGAUAGUGUGUUCAGUAGUGGUGUGGCUAUCCCGAGGUUUGGGCUGGAGGGGACGUUGGUUUUUAAUGUUUUCUGCUUGGGGCUGAGCGGUACCUACAGGGAGCCUUCCUCUGCCCUGGAGGAUGAAGGGUGGUGGGGCAGCAUUUGAAUGCCCAGCAAAUUACUGCAAGGCAGAUCUCAGCAACAACUGGUGUACCCCAUGCUCUCCUGCAGUCAGACGAUGCCAGAUGAAGUGGAGGGACUCGGGGUGCUUUUAUCAUCUGGUGCGAGCCUGCAGCAGUGAGAGCAGUGCUUUGCUCCCCUACCCACUACAGCCGCCAUGUACCCUGCUUCCCCUCACUGACAGGCACCUGGGUUUCUGUCCGUAAUUGUAAUGUGCAGCAGAAGCAAUGUUAGGCUCACUUCUGCAUUAUUUUUUAAGUUUUUGUUUCCUGCAUGAUGACUGUUUGACCCCUCUCCAUGCUCUGGAAAGGAGAGAUGGUUGUAUGACUCUUUAUUACAUUUUGUAGAUUACGUAUGCCCAUACAGCAUAUGUUUACGAUGAAUUUAUAGACCCCUAUAAAGGGGCUUACAGGCAUUAUAUUUAAUUAAUGCAGCAGAAAUUAUAUCGUUGUAAUAACUGCCUGGCCUUUAGAUGUAAAAAACAGCGCCAAGGAUUCCCAGAUGAAUCAUCCCUGAUAAGAACCAGAAAUGACACAGGCCAUAUAUUGUAUGGCGAAUUUGUUUGGAUUGGUACCUUUAGGGUAUUCAGCCUUGCCAAGUCUCCGUGGUGCUGACACAGUUUAUUACACAUUUUCAUUUAUUAAGAGAUUAUUUGACUGCAGUUUGUUGUUUUAUUGUACAGCAGGUGAUAAUUUUACACUAAAUUAACUGUAACAUCUCUGUUAGGAGCAGGCCGAAGAGGCUUCUUGCUAUGAAGCUAAAUACUAAGUAAUGGCUUUUAUUCAUCAAGGGAGUAAUUUGCUCUCACGCACAGGGCAUGGCUCAGGCUCUCCCACAACCCGUAAUUAGUCGGUGUGCGUUCGUGGUCCACGUUGGGGUUAUGGGUUCUGUGCCUUCAGACCGGCUCUGUGCUUGCGCCGAGGAGCUCCCUACUUCAGGGCUUGACAAAAGUGGAUCGUGGCUACCAAAUUUGUGAAUCGGCAGGCCCCUUUCCUCCAAAACUGGUAACUUUGGAAGGAGAAAUAUUUACUGAAUUUUUCUUUUUGGUGUUUAAAAUAGAUUACAGACGAGUAAUUUGGCUGUCCCUUAAUGAAGUCCAUUACACCAGGCUCGUUUCAUAGCCUGGCUCACACAGAUACUGUUGAGCUAAGCUUUGUGGUGGGAGAUGGGAAUUCUGCAUCAAAUUGAAUCGGAGACUGGAGCAGGAACAAUUAUUGCUGCAAAUUAUUAAAGCUUCGCUAUAUUGGAAAUUCACAGCAUGCGUAUAACGGUAACUUACUGUUAAGAAGAAACAUACUACAAAGCUAAAAAUAGAGGAAAAACCAGAACCAUAUUGCUUUGAUCACAAUUCCAUGUUUAAAGGAAGCCAUCACUGGCAAAAUAAUCCCCUUCCCAGCCGUGCCGUGGAUUAGCUUUGGUUAAUGCUAACAUUUCCUCUAUAUGGGGCACAUCAAGGGAGAAAUUAUCAAUUAAAAUCUAAGGCUGGGUAAGUAAUUCAUAGGAAAUAAUCUACACAAGGGCACCCCCCAACACACACAAGCUUUCUCAUUUAUGACUUUGCUGCCAGCAAACCCUCACCUUCUCAGGUGCCGGCGUUUGCUUUGGCUCAGUAAAUGCCAGCACGUCUCGAUGGUGAGCAGUCGCUCACCAAGCACUCAGCUGUGAGCUGCACGCGCUUGCUUUGCCUGGACAAGCAGAUAAAGCGUUACCUUUCUAGCUGCCGAUGGGGUGAUCAGAGCUCCUAAAUUAGGUGUCCGGUGUGAUUUUCCUUACGAUUAGUUAUUCUGAAUUUCCUUCCGGGGAACGUUUGCUAGUGCUCGUUUUAAGUGCUCCGUUCAGAGAUCACUGUGCAGCGAGCUUCCUAGCCGGAGCACUCAUGGGAAGCUACCGCAAAGCAGCGCGCAUUUGUGAACUGAGAACUUAAAUUAUUUCCUUUUUUUUCUCCACUAUUUUCCAGAUCUAUAAGCAUUAUUUGUUUGUAGGUGUUAAUGGUUUUAAAUAUGAGACCACGUGAAUGGCUGUUGUCUGCUGCUUUUUAGGAAUAACAUUUGAUUUCCUUCCUCCUCAGUGGCCCCUAUUUUCUGCAGAGGGAACAUACUGGCAAUUUUUUGUCUUUUUUUUUUCCCCCGCCACGGGCAUCCUGUGUCCUGGCCUGUGAAUCAAGUAUUUGUGGGUGGGAGGCUCUGCCCACGCACCCCUGCGGAGGUGUGAAUAUUUGGGGAGAGAGCCUGUGCCCGAUGGACACCAAAGGCCUAUCUGUGCAGAAGGAUGUGUGUGCAGCCGCCGGAUCGCUUCCAUUGGCUCUGGAAAACAUUUUGACAAAAUUUCCCUUCAGAUAAAGAACUCAUUAAGUUCUCUGCUCCCCUGAGUCCCCGUGCUUCCCCAUCCUCAGAGGCGCAACAUUGAGCCUAAUCACUGACUGGAACAACUGCGGCCUUUAUUUUGGUGUAAAGCAACAAGCAAAAAGGAGAGGAAAAAAAAAAAAAGAAAAAAGGUCCCCUGUGUAUGCAGCUGUAACGCUCGAUCGUAGGAAAAUGGAGGAGCCCACAACCGAUUUCCAAACCUGCGUCUUCCUUUUUCCUGUAACCAGUGCGAUAUAUAAUUUACACAAGGCAAAAAAGAAAAACAAAAAAAAACCAACAAACACACCUUACGAAGCUGAACGUUUUUUUCUUUCUGUUUAAUUCGAUUGCAAAAGGGCUGGAACUCCAGAAAGCCGAGAUAAGAGCCCUGCCCAUGCCUUGCUGCAGCGCGCACCGUACGGAGGAUGGCGAGGCACGAUAACGCUCGAGGUACGGCCACGAGGACUUGCUCGGGUCCCUCAAACAGUUAUCGCCGAAGCUGUCUCGCCUCUUUCCUGUUUUGCAAAGGAAGAGCACGGCGAGGAGCACCCCGUGGCGGCGGGGGCAAUCACAGCCUCAGUCACCGAGAUACCUCCCCACACCCAGGGCUACAGCAGCAAGCCAGCCGGUACUGUAAAAAUUCCUGCCCGGGCGCUGUGGCGGCAUUGAUUUUCGCGUCCCUGGAAGACACGCGGCGCGGUGACACGUCUCCUCUCUCGGCUGACUCACGGGCUGCUCCUCCCGGUCGCUCGCUGCGAGAGCUGGAAGCGCUCUGCCUCCGGGGACUGAGACCUCUCGGCGUUACUUCUGGACUCGCCGCUCCCACCCUUUCUCCUCCGCAAUCUCUGGAGGCUUCUCUUCUGCAAUUUCUGGAGGCUUUGCCUCCACGGCGCUUAUUAAAGAGCUUGUUCGUGGCAGGGAGGCUGGUGAUGAAACUUGUAUGUACAAUUAAAAGCAAACUAUCUUCUCUACUAAUCCGGCCUUUAAGGCCCGAAGUAAACAACUGCAUUUCAAGGGAACGCUGCUAAGGAUGGAAAAGUCUGUCGGGUGUUAGUUUUGUUUUUUUUUAAGCACGAAACAAAACGUUUAACUGCCUAAAAGCUCUAAGCCCUGAUUUGUUAUGGGGAGAUAACAGCUCCAUUAAUUAGAUGAUCAAAGAUGACUUUAUUAGUGAAUUCUAGCUUUGGACUGGCAUGGCUCGUGCUUGUUUAUGGGACAGGCGAACAUCUUCUAUUUGAGUAUUUAUACAGAUUUUUUUCCGGUGAGUUAUCUACCAUAAUUGCUGUAAUUCCCUAAUCCGGGUAUUUGCAUCAGUGCUAUGUGCUGAUUAUGACCUGGUUCAGUGCAUUUAUCUGUGCUGAUUUUCAGCAGCUCUUUGGGGAAAACAAAACAAAAAACAAACCCAAAGAUGACAAAAAACCAAGCAGGUCUCUUUUUAACGUGGACGUUCGCCACGUUUCAGACCUCCCUUCCCACCGCUGACCGGGGGCAGUCCACCUCCUGCUGCGCCUGCUUGCCCUGCUGUGAGCUGCCAGAGCUCACAGCCUAGGGAUCGGAGAGAAACUCAAAUCAUUCCGUUCGUUCGCUGGGUUUCCAACACGCAGCGUGCGUGUUUAUCUCAAGGCAGGUUAGACGCCAAUUAGCGCUGCUCACUAAUGAGGGCAUAAUCAGCCAACCUUGCAACGCAGAGCGUGCAGAGCGACGUAGGAGCGGGAGGCUAAGUGCGGCUGACAGCUCAUCGCUUCUCCUGGUGCUGCCCUGAACGUCCUGCCAGCGCACGCCUUGCAGAUAGCAUUGCAAACGGCGAGGGGGGGCUCUUCAGAAGCGAGUUUUUUAGGAGGGCCCGCGUGAUGCUCAGGGUUGCAGCUUUUGGACCAUUGACCACGUGCUGGGGGGCAUCAGCUGCUUCCCCCGCGAGACCUCCGCCGCUGGUUCCCCCCGACCUUGCCGCAUUAGAAAAUUGAAUGUGAAACUUAAAAACGUUAAGAAAAGGGCUGAAUGGACGUGUCUACGCCCACCCAACUGGCAGCUCGGGACUCGCAGAGCAGUGCCGGCCCGAAGUGGGGUGAGCGCUGUCUGCGGGGACUGGAUUUACUUGCUGUAAGGAGCCAUCUAGUGAGGGUUUACUGCACAUAAAAUCAAAGGAAUUUUUUUUUUUUUUUUUUUUUUUUUUUUACUGUUUCUAGGCAAUACUGAAAGAAAAUGUGAGUGAGCGGUGGUGUUUUCUUUUUCGCCCCCCACUCUGUGGGCCUGCCCUCAGAACCGGGGAGAGCGAAAGCAAAGAUGCGCAAGGCCUUGGCGUGGGUCCCUGUGGGGAACGGGGUGGGGCACAGCAGGGGGCUGACCCCAGCACAGCGAUAAAGGGGGCCAUGUCCACGUGGUGUGCGCCUUUGUGCUCGUUUGCUGGGUUUGGGGGGUUGUUCGUUAAAGAGGAGUGAAGUUAAGCAGCUGAAAAUGCUGGCUUAGAGCUGAGAGGGUCAGUGCACUGCAGAAAUGGGAAGUUAUUGCUCCCGGAGCAUCAAAAGCAUGGCUACGUUGCAAAUCGACACUGUUGUGAAUGCUGCAGCCUGCAGGGCAUUGCAGAAGGCACUGGGCACACCGAGUUAGAGAUGAAGCACUCAAGUUGCUCAGGAAGACGGCAGCAGCUUUCCUACUGUUGGCAGCAAGGUUUGGCACUGGCCUCCAGCGAGCGUGCUGGCCCGCAGCAUCCUCUGCACUGGGUGUACCAAAGUGGUCUCCAGGAUGAAGAGGGGUCUCCCUGGGGGUGUGCGUGGGCUUUGUGCUGCAGUCUCCAUCCUGACGCACAAGGCAGAGCCUCCUCUUCCUCCUCCUCCCCCUCCUCCCCCUUCUCCUCCUCUUCCUCCUCCUUUUUCUCCUCCUCCUCCACCAGCCCCUUGCAUCUUCUCAGGAUGGCAGUUUCUGAGCCCGCAGGCAGUUCCACAUCUGCUCUCCACAGGCACAUUUUUGGGUCCCUCGAUGGCCCAGCUCGUGCCCUCCUGCCCCGGCUGCAUGGAGAGAGGCGCUCGGUGCUGUAACACGCAACAAACAGGGCAGGGAGCGUUCAUGGCUACGUUGCACAUCGGGAUAGGGAAACUAAUCCGACUGCUAUAAACAAGCCUUUACUCUACAAAACCCAGAUGCCUUCGUGCACAAGAAAAUGCUGUAAAUUACGAAUGUCUGUCAUUUUACAGUAACUAUUCCUUGCCUUUUCUUUUGGAAAAUGCAAACAAUGAUUUUUUUACUUUUUUUUUUUUUUUUUUACACCGAGAAAAUCCCCAUUUUUGGUUUUCAUGUGUUGAAGGUUUUCUUCAGACAAAUAGCAGCGAGGAACCGACUUUGACUUCUUGCUCCUCCCCCUGAGAUCACCAGCGUUUGAGAUUACAUGUGGAUUAAGAGGAAGAGAAAGUAUGAAAUCAAAGGUUGGCACCGCAAUCCCGAUGGGUUGUGCUGUGCCGUAGGGGUGUGUUCGUGGAGACACCGGGCCUGAGACUUCUCAUACUGGUUUCACAGCGAAGGGAAUUUCCAGGAAUUUUGGUGGUGUGAUCCCUACGUACGUCAGAAGGAUGUGAAUAAGUUGAUUUUCUCCACUCCCACGUGCGUAUGUGGACAUACCAACCUCUAAGAUUUUUCUCUCUCCUUUGUAAAUUUGCUCGAACCUCUGACUACAUGUUUGGAGACCAAUUUCAGAUGAAUUUCUAACAGUUUCCUUUCCCGUGGGAAUACCAGUGGUAAGAAACUGCUCCUGGGAAAAGCUUGUUCCAUCACUCAAAAAAAAAAAAAAAAGGAAAAAAAAAAAGAUUGAUUUAAACACUGAAGUGCAAGGAAUUGUGUUGUGAAACACUUUUAAAAAUUAAUAUCUACUGUUAACCCCCUGGCUCUAUUAAUGUACAGCAUCCAGUCUUUGUCCCAUCAGGUCUUGUGACACAGAGCUCCCCAAAUGGAUUGUGUGGAUUUCUUGUUCUAGAUCUGUUAGAAAAACUGUUAUUGUAUUCCAGGUCACCCUGAAAACGAUGGCAGCUGUCACCCACAACACUAUCUCCCAGGGUUUAACCUGCACUGGCUGUUCUGCUGCUGAGAUGACGGUGGAGAGAAAUGAAAGAAAUUUAUAAAAAGAGAGUGAGCUCUUCCCAGAC